GAAGAAGAAGAAAAGCUCAGGGCAGUGAAUCCCAUUUUACCCAGGAAAACAAACCCAAGAACUGAAGGAUGGAGAAGUGGCCACGAGCUUCACUGGCAAUCCUAUGGCUUCAGCUGAGCUGGGUGUACAGUGAUGACAAGGUGAUGCAGAGCCCCCUAUCUCUGCUUGUCCGCGAGGGAGACAAUGCAAUGCUCAACUGCCGGUAUGAGGUGUCUAACUUCCAAAGCCUACUGUGGUAUAAACAGGAAGGAAAAUCUCCCACAUUUCUGUUUAGGCUAAUUACAAGUGGGAUUGACAAUGGAAGAAUAAGAGGCACCUUAGAUAAGAAAGAACGUCUCAGCACCCUGCACAUUACAGCCACCCAUUCUGGGGACUCAGCCACCUACCUCUGUGCAGUGCAGGCACAGUGCUCUGAAGUCACCUGCAGCCUAUACAUAAAAGCUACAGCUGAGGAUCCUGCCACUGUUAGAUGGAGAGCUUCCUAAACUGGGUGUGCCCUCAAAAAUAAG